rnacentral:rRNA from 1 species
UACGAAGGGGGCUAGCGUUGUUCGGAAUUACUGGGCGUAAAGCGCGCGCAGGCGGCUAUCCAAGUCAGUGGUGAAAGCCCGGAGCUCAACUCCGGAACUGCCAUUGAAACUGUUUAGCUUGAGGACGAGAGAGGUGAGUGGAAUUCCCAGUGUAGAGGUGAAAUUCGUAGAUAUUCGGAAGAACACCAGUGGCGAAGGCGGCUCACUGGCCCGGUACUGACGCUGAGGUGCGAAAGCGUGGGGAGCAAACAGG